CUGCAGGAAGGCAGCUCCGUAGAGAGGCAAAUCUCACUCCAGCUCGGGCAAUACUCAACUACACGGACGUGGAUGCUCUCAAGGGGGCUUUGGGGCAUGUGGUGUCGGCAUUGGACCCAAAUAUGGGCUCAAAGCUUUCCUUUACCAUAUUCUUUCUACAUUUUUCUUGCAGAUUGAGAAGGGAUAGGGAGGAGUUUAGGGAAGUGAGUGAAGCAGGAAGAUGUUGACCAAGGGAAGUUAAUUCCAUAAAGAGGAGGAUGAGGGGACAGAAAGGCAGGAGGAAGAGGAGGAGGAGAAUCUUCGCACAGGGGGUGUCAGCUGAUGGGGGCAGCAUGGGCGCCCAUGGAGCCCUUUAGGGGUCGUUGGUUGUGUGCAGAGAGGCCACAGCAGGCGAGGCAGGCAGUGUCUACCACCCCCAAGGAGACACCAAGAAUCCCUGUCCUUAGGAAGUCCCCUCUUCCUCCUCUUGAGUCUCAUCUCGGAAAGAGGGAGCUGUCAGUCAGAGCUCAGGCCAAACACUGGGGCUAAUAGGGGUGAGAGCAGGGACCUGUGGGGUCCUCACCGCUGUCCCCUUCUCACCUUUCUGGCUCAGGCCAGGCUCAGCCCCCAGUGGUCUAUUGUCUUUCUAUCUGUCAUCUAUCUACCUACCCACCUAUCUAACCAUGCCAUCUAUUUCAUCUAUUUUUAUCUAUCAACCAUCUAUCAUAUAUCUACCUACCUACCUUUCCAUCUAUCAUCUAGUUCAUCUAUUGCUAUCUAUUAUCUAAUUUGCCUAUCAAGUAUCUAUCCAUCAUCUAUUUCUAUCAUCUAUCCAUCACCUGUUACCUAUCACCCAUAUACCACCUAUCCCUAUCUAUCAUCUAUCUAGCCAGCAAUCCACCCAUCAUCUACUUCAUCUAUUUCUACCCGUCUCCCACCCCCUCUCCCCACCCCUCACCAGAGAGUAUGCAAGCACGACCACGUCAACAGGCCCUGAAGUCACAGGUUCACACAGCACGUUUUCUGCUCCAUCACGUGUAUGGGGCAGGGGGCAGCAGAGCUGGGGGAGAAGAGAUAAAGGAAUUAUGUCAAACAGGGACUGUCUUGUCUGCCCCAAGGGUCUUUCCUCAUCUAUAAAGCAGAUUUUUCUUGUAGAGCACCACGAGAGCUGUGAAAUGGGAGUGAGGGGUGAGGCAGGCCAUGGGGCCUUCCACAAGGUGGGCAAGAUGGUUGUCUCUGGGGAACCAGCUGGCCAGAGGGGGCCAAGUGCCAACCGGUCUGGAUGAGAGCAAAGCAGCAGGCAGAAGGUUACAGAGGCAAGUGUCGGCACCAGGGGUGAACGCUGGGAUUUUUCAAAUCCAAGAGACAUUUCAAGUAAGGGGAAAACCUCCCCCAGGGCUGGGCUGAGAAGCUAGUCGGGUGAUGGGAUGAGUGAGAAUGACAAGUUGCGUCUGAUUGUCCUGGAGACCUGGCUGAGAACUCUGUGUGAGUCUCUUAGGUAGACGGUUACACUUGUUUUCAGUGAGAGUCAGUUUCCAUAGAGAACUGCAUGGUAGUCACCAAGAACCGAGGGGGCCCAGGAAUGCCCCAGCAGUGGUCUGGAAGGGCUUGUGGGGCUGGGCAGGAGGUGGGUGGGGACCGGGUGCAGGCAGAGGGAAUUCAAGGGUACAGAGGCAGAGAGAUGGUGCCGCCUGGGGAACGCAGCGCACCCAGGACAGAACAGGCCUGAGAGCCACACACACUCACAGCGGCUUCCCAGAGUGUUUGUUUUCUAUGCACCAAGAUGCUCCCCCAAACCCUCUGCAGCCUGUUCCCUGCCUUGGGGGUCCUGAGGGCCACCCUUCGGGUAUGGGGUUCAGGUCGCUAUUCCUUUCUCGAUGCCCCUGGUGUGUCCAUGGGAUGAGCUGACUGGCCCACCUAGUGGGAGCCUGUGCACCACGGUUCGUGUGGCCCAGGGGAGGAGGUUUUGCCUUAGGGCUAUGGCAAGGGCCGUGGUCACUCAUAUUUGGCUCAGAAUACAUCUCUUCAAAUAUUUUACUGAGUUUGACUCUUUUCGUCUACAGGAGCAAUGGAAAUGAUUUUCUUUGAUCACAGUGUCAGCUCCUGACAUUGGGUUGCACCCAUCUGUGCUGCGGACUCUUCCCUCGGAAUGAGAGAGGGAGAUGGCUCCCAGUGUGGUUGGAAGUCACCCCACCCCACAACAACACAGUGCAACAGGCCCCGGCUUCACGCCCAUUCAGUUCAGGACAAGUUUUUUGGAGCAUCUACUCUGGGCCAGGCCCGUAGGAUACUAAGAUGAAAUAGAGACAGUUCCUGCCUUUGAAGGGUGGUGAUUUACCGGUGGGGAGAAAGGAAGAGGCCCAUGAAAAGUCGUGUCUGUAGAAGGUAAGAAGGGGCACAACCGCCAUGGCAGGGGAGUCACAAAGGAGAAGCAUUCAGCCUGCCGAGAGGUCCCAGGACUUUCCUGGAGGAUCAGUCCCCAAACUGACUGUGACAGGGAGCUAGACCCAGAUAACAGCAGAGGCCCAGAAUAA
rnacentral:lncRNA from 10 species